UCAUAGUGAACCACAAGGUCCGGCUUUCAUAGCGAAUGUCCGAUACCGCGAGACAAGGUAGAUGGGGUGUGCCCACCAACUUGGACUAACAUUUCGUCCAGAAGAUUAUCAGAGGGAUUUUCAGUCGGAACUGAUGGGAAAUUCAAACGAUGCCAGCUGAGAAGUGAUGCCAUUAGGUUACCAUUGUUUUUUUUCUUCAAAACAAAAUGGAAGACUUCCAAUCAACCAACAUCAGCUCACAAGAGGAGCUUGAUUAGAGGUGGUACAGAAUCUGAUUCCACCAGCAUGUGCUUUCAUCUCCAGCUCUGUUGAUGGUGUCGCCCAUCUUCCCCAUUAUCCCAUGGGUACGUAUACCUGUGUUCUGUGUUUGUCUGUGGCCAGUUCGUCUUGUUUGUCAAGUCAACCAGUUUGGUUCUCUGUUUGUCAAGUUUCGCAGCUCCUGCUUUUCUCGUGUCUCUCUUUUCUCGUCCUCCUGGUUUUGACCAUUGCCUGUCCUGACUCUGAGCCCGCCUGCCUGACCGCUCUGCCUGCCCCUGACCCUGAGCCUGCCUGCCGUCCGGUGCCUUUGCCCCUACUCUGGCUUACCGAUCCCUGCCUGCCUUGACCUGUCGUUUGCCUAUCCCUGUUGUUGUAAUAAACAUUGUUACUUCAACACAGUCUGCACUUGGGUCUUACCGAAAACCUGAUAGUUGCAGUAUCAUGUCCACGUUUAUAUGUGUGUUUAAACACAGUAGAAAACAAAUUGACAAUAUAAAAUUAAUAUCAGUUACAUACCAACAAAAAGAGAGUAGACUGUCGGCCUUACUGGAUCGAUAGCAACAUUAGCUCGAGCUGUUUAGGAGGGAUAUCACACCUGGCACAAAUGAUUGUCUAGUUCUGUUUUUCCUGCUGGGGGGUGCCCUAUACCUGCUCCCAGAGGGGAGUAGUUAAAAGUCAGCAUACAGGGUCUGGCUUGGAUCUAAAAGGAUUUUGUGAGCCUUGCUGAGGGCCCUGACCUUAAAGAUCUCAUCCAAGCCAGUUCUGCUCCAAUGACACACACAGGCAAAUAAAUUGUGUUCUCUCCAUCUAGAAUCCACUCCAGGAAGAAGCACCGGCACCACACAACACAGUAAUGUCUGUAAGAAAAAUAAUAAUAUAAAAUAUAUAAAUGAUCAUCUAUUCUACAUUUAGAACCAUAUCGAGGCUGAAAUGUGUCGUAGCCCUCAACAUUUGAACAGUGGUCAGGCAGUACACAUGUACCUAGAUAGGCAGCACGACAGUAGCUACAGCCAUGUUUAGGCAAACAUUUUCUAGUAAAACCAGAUCAUCAGUUUCAGAGAUGUACAACAGUAAGUGGUUGUAUUACUGUUUCCUCUCACUGUUAAUAAACUUAGCUAGCUAGCUUGCUGGAUAGCCAAUAAUAUUGAUUGACAUCUGUUCAUGACCUUAACUUUAUAUUGCAUCAUGCCUCUCAAUUUGUGAGAUUGAAAUGCGUCCACUGUCAUAAUCAUUGAAUGUCACCAUGCAGCUAGCGAAGGGAACAUCAAAAUACAUUGUGUUGAUGAGACGAAUCACUUGACUGUGGUCUGGUCAAGUCUUUCACAUUUUCCUAAGAGGAUUUGCGUUGUGUCCGCCUCCCUUUCAAAAAAUGUUGCAUUGGGAGAGAGACAGGGCCAGAGCCCGAAGCACCGCCCCACACCAAGUUGUAAUCUUUCAGAGAAGACAGAAAAAAUGUCUCACCUUGAACAGUUAUCAAUGAUUCCGCCAAUAGAAACUUUGCUGAAAGACGUCCAAUAGCUCUAUCGAACAAAGACAACUAUAUCGACAUGCGCACAAAUGUACAUUGUGAUCAGCAUAACAUUGAGGCUUAUAUUUACCAAACGCUAUUAUCCUGAAUGACUUACAGGAGCAAUUAGGGUUAAGUGCCUUUCUCAAGGGCACAUCUGCUGAUUUUCCCCGAGUCGAUGAUUCAAACCAGCACCCUUUUGGUUACUGGGCCAACACUCCUAACCGCUAGGUUACCUGCCGCCACCUGAUAGUUUGACGCACGAAGCCCACACCCGCCCUCUUUGUGGGAAACAUAUCUCACUGACCUAGAAAUGCAUUGGCCAUGUUCAAAACAAACCCAGGUUCCCCAGGGUGACAAUUCCCUCUUUCACAAGUUGUUCCUGAAAAAAAAUAAAUCAGAUCAAAUCAACGUUUAUUGGUCACGUACACAAUCCAAAAUGUAUUUUCAAUACUGUUGCAAAACUAACUACAUUGAACACAAAUAUAUUGUCACGCCCUGACAUUAGAGCUUUUUAUGUCUCUAUUUUGGUUUAGUCAGGGUGUGAUUUGGGUGGGAAUUCUAUGUUCCUUUUUCUAUGUUUUUGUAUUUCUUUGUUUUGGCCGGGUAUGAUUCUCAAUUAGGGACAGCUGUCUAUCAUUGUCUCUGAUUAGGAACCAUAAUUAGGUAGCUUUUUCCCACAGGACUUUUGUGGGUAGUUAAUUUCUCUUUAGUGUUUUGCACCAUUCAGGACUGUUUCGGUUAUUCCCUUUGUUAUUAGUGUUCAGUUUUAAUAAAGUAAGAAUGAA